AUUGUGACCAAAAGUCCCCCUCCAGGGUGUUAAACUCCUGGAGGAUACUCAUAAGCCAGGACUUCCCAAGAGUGUCCCAUGGAACCUGAGUUCUAAGGACGGUACAUGAAAAAAAUCAACAUGGGUUCCAUGAUCAAAGAAGUUUGGGAAAUGGGCUAAAUGAAAGGACUUCCAAGGCCUUUUAUCUGCUAAUGAGAAAGAACAAGCCCUGUGAAAAACAAGCUGCUGUCCCUGCUAGAGGCAUCCUGCAAUCCAUGGAUGUUUAUCACCAAGCCAUUGUUAACAUGAGGUGGUUUCCAAAAGGAAAAGCUUUGGGAGAUAGAAGUCCUCGUUUUGACCUCUGCCCUCCUUGUACACCAGGAGCCAGAAAAACUUCAUCUCUUUUACAAGAAACAUUGAGAUUCCUGUAAAAUUAAGAAAUCACACAAUUUGAUGGUCUACAUUAUCUAAAGCAAAUGAGACUUCUAUUUGGAACAAAGACUACCUUGUUGGGAAAUGAGUCUGCAAGUUAAAGUGUUUUCUGAAAGAUGGUAUCUGUAUCAUCUAGACUGUGUUUGCCCUGAGGAGAAACUAAGACAGACAUGCCCAAAGGCUGAACUCAAUAUCUUUGUAGAAAUUAUUAAAAGCAAUAUCACCUUUAGCCUUGUCAAGAACCUCUAACAAGACCUUUUCAGACCAAAGUGCCCUCAAUAUCAGAGCAUGUAGUCACCCACCCCAGGUUGACCCCGGAAGUAUGAGAGAGCUAAGGUGGGAGCCAGAGGCUGAGAGAAGAAAGGGGGUGACCUAGUUCAUGCCAAAUGAAUCUCACAAGCAAGACUAGAUUGUAAAAUCAGCAAAGUCGCUCACAGCUGCAUUAUGUCCUCCCUGAGCUCUGGGCACUUUUGCCUUUGUGACCUCCUUCCUCCAACAAUUAACAUUAAAAAUUGUAUUUUAUUAUAAAGACAAACAUAA
rnacentral:lncRNA from 1 species